rnacentral:rRNA from 1 species
AUUGAACGCUGGCGGAAUGCUUUACACAUGCAAGUCGAACGGCAGCACGGACUUCGGUCUGGUGGCGAGUGGCGAACGGGUGAGUAAUGUAUCGGAACGUGCCCAGUCGUGGGGGAUAACGUAGUGAAAAUUACGCUAAUACCGCAUACGAUCUAUGGAUGAAAGCGGGGGAUCGCAAGACCUCGCGCGAUUGGAGCGGCAGAUAUCAGAUUAGGUAGUUGGUGGGGUAAAGGCCCACCAAGCCAACGAUCUGUAGCUGGUCGGAGAGGACGACCAGCCACACUGGAACUGAGACACGGUCCAGACUCCUACGGGAGGCAGCAGUGGGGAAUUUUGGACAAUGGGCGAAAGCCUGAUCCAGCCAUUCCGCGUGCAGGAUGAAGGCCCUCGGGUUGUAAACUGCUUUUGUACAGAACGAAAAGGUUUCUACUAAUACUAGGAGCUCAUGACGGUACUGUAAGAAUAAGCACCGGCUAACUACGUGCCAGCAGCCGCCGUAA